rnacentral:rRNA from 1 species
CACGUAGGGCGCAAGCGUUGUCCGGAAUUAUUGGGCGUAAAGAGCUCGUAGGUGGUUUGUUACGUCUGCUGUGAAAACCUAGGGCUUAACCCUGGGCUUGCAGUGGAUACGGGCAGACUAGAGGUAGGUAGGGGAGAAUGGAAUUCCUGGUGUAGCGGUGAAAUGCGCAGAUAUCAGGAGGAACACCGGUGGCGAAGGCGGCUCUCUGGGGACGGUACUGACGCUGAGACGCGAAAAGCGUGGGGAGCGAACAGG